AAUGUAGUGAUCAUUAUGUUCCUGUUUAGAGAUAAAUGGGUAAACAUUGAAAACAUUAUGUAACUGGGAGUGAAACUUACAAUUAUGUUUCAUGAAC
rnacentral:ncRNA from 1 species